CGACAAGCUGAAGGAGGGAAAAGAGCGUGGCCAGAGCACAGGAGCAAGGGGGACUAUGCCAGCGAGGAGGCUUUGGUGGAAGGAAAAAGAAAGUCAAAGGCUUUAGGGCUCUCCCAGCUCUUUUAGAUUUUGUCUUAAGUGCAAGGGAAGGGUUGGAAGUAGGACAGUGAUGUGAUCAGAUCUAUCUUUUAAAACCAUCUCUGACCAUGUGGAGAAUGGCUGGGAAGUGGAAUGAAGCAAGAGGAGAGGCUUCUGCAGAGUUCUGAAGGCUGGAAGUCUGGGAUCAACGUGUCAGCAAGAUUGGCUUCUUUUCAGGCCCCUCUCCUUGGAUUGCAGAUGGCUCUCUUCUCAUGGUGUCUUCACAUGAUCUUCCCUCUGUAUUUGUCUGUGUCCUAAUCUUCUCUUCUUAAAAGGACACCAGUCAUAUUGGAUUAGGGCCUAUAUGGCAGAUGUACCUGACAGCAAUAACUUGGAGUGGCCAACCUGGAGAUUCAUUCCUUAUCUAUGAGGAGCAUUGGAACCCUUGACCCAUCCCAUGGAAUGCAGGCUUCAUCAUGGGUUGAAUGAAGGUUGCCAGAUGGAGGUUGCCAGGGGAGGGUGCUAAGUGAAAAUGCUAUGUAAACCACAUGCUUUUGACAGGUGGUUGCAGUUUUCCUGUGCAGCCCAUCACCACUGGGCCACCCUGUAUGUAAGUCCCCUCAAUAAACCCUAUGUCUCAUGCACUGGCU
rnacentral:lncRNA from 1 species